UGCAGUCGUGCGAGAAAGUAUCUUCGGAUAUGAGUAGAGCGGCGGACGGGUGAGUAACGCGUAGGAAUCUACCUAGUAGAAGGGGAUAGCCCGGGGAAACCCGGAUUAAUACCGUAUACCUCCUUCGGGAGAAAGAAGGCCUCUCUUUGAAGCUUUCGCUACUAGAUGAGCCUGCGUAAGAUUAGCUUGUUGGUGAGGUAAAGGCUCACCAAGGCAACGAUCUUUAGCUGGUCUGAGAGGACGAUCAGCCACAUUGGGACUGAGACACGGCCCAGACUCCUACGGGAGGCAGCAGUGGGGAAUAUUGGACAAUGGGCGCAAGCCUGAUCCAGCCAUACCGCGUGUGUGAAGAAGGCCUUUGGGUUGUAAAGCACUUUAAGCAGGGAGAAAAAGUUAUAAGUUAAUACCUUAGAGCCUUGAUGUUACCUGCAGAAUAAGCACCGGCUAAUUCCGUGCCAGCAGCCGCGGUAAUACGAAAGGUGCAAGCGUUAAUCGGAAUUACUGGGCGUAAAGCGCGCGUAGGUGGUUUGUUAAGUUGGAUGUGAAAGCCCUGGGCUCAACCUAGGAACUGCAUCCAAAACUAACUCACUAGAGUACGAUAGAGGGAGGUAGAAUUCAUAGUGUAGCGGUGGAAUGCGUAGAUAUUAUGAAGAAUACCAGUGGCGAAGGCGGCCUCCUGGAUCUGUACUGACACUGAGGUGCGAAAGCGUGGGUAGCGAACAGGAUUAGAUACCCUGGUAGUCCACGCCGUAAACGAUGACAACUAGCUGUUGGGAGACAAAGUCUUUCAGUGGCGCAGCCAACGCUUUAAGUUGUCCGCCUGGGGAGUACGGCCGGCAGGCUAAAACUCAAACGAAUUGACGGGGACCCGCACAAGCGGUGGAGCAUGUGGUUAAAUUCGAUGCAACGCGAAAAACCUUACCUACUCUUGA
rnacentral:rRNA from 1 species